rfam:Procavia capensis cont1.101201, whole genome shotgun sequence.
GGUAUUUACAUAUCUUGGGGAGAUUUAGAGUAUAAACUCUAAGAUCUUUGGUAUUUAAGUGUCAACAUCGAUUUUAUUUAUUUAUUGCUGAGCUGACUGUAACCGACUCAGUCACAAAUCUAAUCGUGUAUUGCACUGGAAAAGAAAUAUUCUUAUUACAUAUUUUCCCCAAAUGAUGUUGCACCAUUGCUUUUGAAUACCUGUUGUAAAUAUAUCAAUAAUAUUAGGUAAUUACU